AACGAACGCUGGCGGCAUGCCUAACACAUGCAAGUCGAACGAGAUCUUCGGGUCUAGUGGCGCACGGGUGCGUAACGCGUGGGAAUCUGCCCUUUGGUUCGGAAUAACAGUUGGAAACGACUGCUAAUACCGGAUGAUGACGAAAGUCCAAAGAUUUAUCGCCAGAGGAUGAGCCCGCGUAGGAUUAGCUAGUUGGUGUGGUAAAGGCGCACCAAGGCGACGAUCCUUAGCUGGUCUGAGAGGAUGAUCAGCCACACUGGGACUGAGACACGGCCCAGACUCUACGGGAGGCAGCAGUGGGGAAUAUUGGACAAUGGGCGAAAGCCUGAUCCAGCAAUGCCGCGUGAGUGAUGAAGGCCUUAGGGUUGUAAAGCUCUUUUACCCGGGAUGAUAAUGACAGUACCGGGUGAAUAAGCUCCGGCUAACUCCGUGCCAGCCGCCGCAGUAAGAC
rnacentral:rRNA from 1 species